rnacentral:rRNA from 1 species
UACGUAGGGGGCAAGCGUUGUCCGGAUUUAUUGGGCGUAAAGAGCUUGUAGGCGGCUUUACAGGUCCGUUGUGAAAACUCGAGGCUCAACCUCGAGACGCCGGUGGAAACCGUAAAGCUAGAGUCCGGAAGAGGAGAGUGGAAUUCCUGGUGUAGCGGUGAAAUGCGCAGAUAUCAGGAGGAACACCCGUGGCGAAAGCGGCUCUCUGGGACGGUACUGACGCUGAGACGCGAAAGCGUGGGGAGCGAACAGG